GGAAAUUGUGAACGAAAUUGUGAACUGAACUGCUGAACUGCAAUCUGUGAGCCCAGUGAAGAUACAGAGAAAGAAAAGACUUCUUUGAACUCUUUGAAUAAGAACAGAAUUCCCUUCUACCCUGUUUCUGACUUAAUACUCCAAUAAAAGCUAACCUUUUAACAACAGCAGCUGAUAUUUACAUAAGAUUCACCAUGUAAACGGACUUAAAGAAGGCAACUGCCUGAGACCCCAUUUCAAUGAAGGAAGAAAAUAAGGAAGUCAUGUUUUGAUAAAGCUAUCAGAAUUAAAAUAUAUGUACUAGGAUUCCAUAUCUGUUUUGGUUUAAAGAAAGAAUUUUUAGUUGGAUAAAUCUGACAAGAUUUGAAGAUAAAAACAAAAAAAAAAUCUGGAUCUCGUCUUUCUCUUAUAAAGUGCGGUUUCUUCACAUCACUCAGGAAUGUUUAUUCCAACUUAAGGCAGAACAGAAAAUUGAUUAAUGCUGACUGCUUUCCUAUGUCUCUGUACUGUAUUUACCUGAAAUAUAAACCACAAUUUCAAUAAAUGGGUUUGUC
rnacentral:lncRNA from 1 species